rnacentral:rRNA from 1 species
UACGGAGGGAGCUAGCGUUAUUCGGAAUUACUGGGCGUAAAGCGCACGUAGGCGACUUUGUAAGUUAGAGGUGAAAGCCUGGAGCUCAACUCCAGAAUUGCCUUUAAGACUGCAUCGCUCGAAUCCAGGAGAGGUGAGUGGAAUUCCGAGUGUAGAGGUGAAAUUCGUAGAUAUUCGGAAGAACACCAGUGGCGAAGGCGGCUCACUGGACUGGUAUUGACGCUGAGGUGCGAAAGCGUGGGAGCAAACAGG